GAAAUGCAAGUUAUGCAGCAGUCUCAUCUCCAACCCCCCAAUUGUUGUUUGGUGGGGACAUGGAUUUGGUCUCGUUCAGCUGUUUGCUGAAAAGGACAGCAUUCUGAACCAACCAAACAGUUUACUGGGCAUCAUCUUUUACACUCUGCAGCUAGGCCUAGGCCAAAUGGUGUCAAAUACAGCAGCACAUUUCUUGGUCAUGGCAUCCUGGGUGUCAGAAGCUGGUUCGAUCUAUCUAGCUUCUAUUUUAGUAUUUGUUCUGGAAGAUUUCUGCCUGGUGUGUGUGUGUGUCGACAUACAUCACCGACUUUUCUCUCCUCUACACCAACCUGCAGAGAAGGACAUGCCUUAGAGGAAAGCAGAAAAAAGACAAGACAAAAUGAGACCUUGUAUGUUUGUGUGUGUUUGUGUCUGUCUGUCUGUUUGCUGAAACAAUUCCACCAUACAAGAAUAUAGUGCUCUUUGCUUAUAGAGCAGACAUUUUUGUUACACAAAAGCCAGCAAAUGAUUAAUUCUAUUUACUUAAAAACUAUUUGCCUCUUUGAAUAAAAGCUUUUAAAAAAGUAA